rnacentral:rRNA from 1 species
GACGAACGCUGGCGGCGUGCCUAAUACAUGCAAGUCGAACGAGAGCGACCGGUGCUUGCACUGGUCAAUCUAGUGGCGAACGGGUGAGUAACACGUGGGUAACCUGCCCAUCAGAGGGGGAUAACAUCCGGAAACGGAUGCUAACACCGCAUAGGUCUUCGAGCCGCAUGGCUUGAAGAGGAAAAGAGGCGCAAGCUUCUGCUGAUGGAUGGACCCGCGGUGCAUUAGCUAGUUGGUGAGGUAACGGCUCACCAAGGCCGUGAUGCAUAGCCGACCUGAGAGGAUGAUCAGCCACAUUGGGACUGAGACACGGCCCAAACUCCUACGGGAGGCAGCAGUAGGGAAUCUUCCGCAAUGGACGCAAGUCUGACGGAGCAACGCCGCGUGAGUGAAGAAGGUUUUCGGAUCGUAAAACUCUGUUGUUAGAGAAGAACAAGUGCUAGAGUAACUGUUAGCGCCUUGACGGUAUCUAAACAGAAAGCCACGGCUAACUACGUG